UACGUAGGGUGCGAGCGUUAAUCGGAAUUACUGGGCGUAAAGCGUGCGCAGGCGGUGAUGUAAGACAGGUGUGAAAUCCCCGGGCUUAACCGGGGAACUGCAUUUGUGACUGCAUCGCUGGAGUGCGGCAGAGGGGGAUGGAAUUCCGCGUGUAGCAGUGAAAUGCGUAGAUAUGCGGAGGAACACCGAUGGCGAAGGCAAUCCCCUGGGCCUGCACUGACGCUCAUGCACGAAAGCGUGGGGAGCAAACAGG
rnacentral:rRNA from 1 species